rnacentral:lncRNA from 1 species
CAUCACUUUUGGAGCCGUGUAUGUCUUCUAUGAACUAUAUAAACUUGAGAGGAUUUAAUGACUGAUUUUUCUAUAGUCUUUAUAAAAGAAGUGACAUACAUUAUUUGAAGAUCUACAGCUUUCCAGUUAGUUCAGUAUGGAGAACCAAGAAUCCAUAUGAAAAACCCAGUUGGGAAUUCACUGGAAGAGGUUUGAAGCAUAAAGAUGAUAAGCAGAUGACAUAUCUGUCUCUCAAAUUUCUUAGAGAAUAGAUGUCCUACGAGAAUAAAAGGCAAUUUCAAUAGAUUUAAAUGGAAGACAACAAAUUCCAGCUGAAGUGUUUCAUUAAGAUUUUAUUUUAUGACAUAAUUAUUCAAAACUAUAAAGUAAUGAAACAAAAAAAAAAUUUUAAUUAGAGAAAUAAAUCUUUAAAUAAUGUAUUUAUUUCCUAGUUUGGCGUUUAUCUAUUUUGACUCUUCCUUAUUUGUUAAGAUUCUGAAAAUUUUGAUAUUUACAAAUUUAUGCAAAUAUCAAAUGUUUUCAGACUUAGAUGGCAUUCUUGUAGACAACCAAACAUAUGUAUUGCUUAACAGUAGAAUGUGAAAGCUGUUAACCCAUUAACUAUUGUCUAACAGUCCAUUAUCUUAACCAAUGUAUUUCUUCAACACAAUAUAGUAAUAAAGAAAAUAAUUAACUAUUUGUAA